UUAUAGGUAGAAAAAGGUAGAAAAAAUGAGCAAGGAGGAGAAGUGAAAGUGUUAUAGUAAGGGUGGUACACAGAAGAGAUAUUGAAAUAAGGAAGUGAGAUGACCUCUGUAUAUUCUAGUGUCGGAAAUACAAGCGGUAAGCCAAAAGUUGCCAGUAAAGUAGAAAGAUGUGGGAUCUCAUUUGGAAAGAAAGCAGAUAAAAUCCUGUGGAAGGAGCAUGUCACAAGAAAAAGAAGGUAGAAAAAAUGAGAAAGGAGGAGAAGUGAAAGUGUUAUAGUAAGGGUGGUACACAGAAGAGAUAUUGAAAUAAGGAAGUGAGAUGACCUCUGUAUAUUCUAGUGUCGGAAAUACAAGCGGUAAGCCAAAAGUUGCCAGUAAAGUAGAAAGAUGUGGGAUCUCAUUUGGAAAGAAAGCAGAUAAAAUCCUGUGGAAGGAGCAUGUCACAAGAAAAAGAAGGUAGAAAAAAUGAGAAAGGAGGAGAAGUGAAAGUGUUAUAGUAAGGGUGGUACACAGAAGAGAUAUUGAAAUAAGGAAGUGAGAUGACCUCUGUAUAUUCUAGUGUCGGAAAUACAAGCGGUAAGCCAAAAGUUGCCAGUAAAGUAGAAAGAUGUGGGAUCUCAUUUGGAAAGAAAGCAGAUAAAAUCCUGUGGAAGGAGCAUGUCACAAGAAAAAGAAGGUAGAAAAAAUGAGAAAGGAGGAGAAGUGAAAGUGUUAUAGUAAGGGUGGUACACAGAAGAGAUAUUGAAAUAAGGAAGUGAGAUGACCUCUGUAUAUUCUAGUGUCGGAAAUACAAGCGGUAAGCCAAAAGUUGCCAGUAAAGUAGAAAGAUGUGGGAUCUCAUUUGGAAAGAAAGCAGAUAAAAUCCUGUGGAAGGAGCAUGUCACAAGAAAAAGAAGGUAGAAAAAAUGAGAAAGGAGGAGAAGUGAAAGUGUUAUAGUAAGGGUGGUACACAGAAGAGAUAUUGAAAUAAGGAAGUGAGAUGACCUCUGUUUAUUCUAGUGUCGGAAAUACAAGCGGUAAGCCAAAAGUUGCCAGUAAAGUAGAAAGAUGUGGGAUCUCAUUUGGAAAGAAAGCAGAUAAAAUCCUGUGGAAGGAGCAUGUCACAAGAAAAAGAAGGUAGAAAAAAUGAGAAAGGAGGAGAAGUGAAAGUGUUAUAGUAAGGGUGGUACACAGAAGAGAUAUUGAAAUAAGGAAGUGAGAUGACCUCUGUAUAUUCUAGUGUCGGAAAUACAAGCGGUAAGCCAAAAGUUGCCAGUAAAGUAGAAAGAUGUGGGAUCUCAUUUGGAAAGAAAGCAGAUAAAAUCCUGUGGAAGGAGCAUGUCACAAGAAAAAGAAGGUAGAAAAAAUGAGAAAGGAGGAGAAGUGAAAGUGUUAUAGUAAGGGUGGUACACAGAAGAGAUAUUGAAAUAAGGAAGUGAGAUGACCUCUGUUUAUUCUAGUGUCGGAAAUACAAGCGGUAAGCCAAAAGUUGCCAGUAAAGUAGAAAGAUGUGGGAUCUCAUUUGGAAAGAAAGCAGAUAAAAUCCUGUGGAAGGAGCAUGUCACAAUGUCGGAAAUACAAGCGGUAAGCCAAAAGUUGCCAGUAAAGUAGAAAGAUGUGGGAUCUCAUUUGGAAAGAAAGCAGAUAAAAUCCUGUGGAAGGAGCAUGUCACAAGAAAAAGAAGGUAGAAAAAAUGAGAAAGGAGGAGAAGUGAAAGUGUUAUAGUAAGGGUGGUACACAGAAGAGAUAUUGAAAUAAGGAAGUGAGAUGACCUCUGUAUAUUCUAGUGUCGGAAAUACAAGCGGUAAGCCAAAAGUUGCCAGUAAAGUAGAAAGAUGUGGGAUCUCAUUUGGAAAGAAAGCAGAUAAAAUCCUGUGGAAGGAGCAUGUCACAAGAAAAAGAAGGUAGAAAAAAUGAGCAAGGAGGAGAAGUGAAAGUGUUAUAGUAAGGGUGGUACACAGAAGAGAUAUUGAAAUAAGGAAGUGAGAUGACCUCUGUAUAUUCUAGUGUCGGAAAUACAAGCGGUAAGCCAAAAGUUGCCAGUAAAGUAGAAAGAUGUGGGAUCUCAUUUGGAAAGAAAGCAGAUAAAAUCCUGUGGAAGGAGCAUGUCACAAG
rnacentral:lncRNA from 1 species